CAUCGUGGUCAAACAAACAGCUGAAUUACAAUAAUGCGAAUAAAAAUUAUUAAAUUGCAUUACCCGUCCAUAAGGCAUGUGCGAAAAACAAGAUAAAAUAAUGCCGUUGAAACGCUGAGCUUACACAACUAAUCAAUAGCUUGCAUUCAAACUUAGUUGGUUUUAAAAAUUAGAAAGAUUGAUUAAUGCAACUCAUACCUUGGUUCUCUUAUUGAAUUCGUCAAAGUACCAGUGUUUUGUGGAACCAUGUUCAGUUAACAUCGACAGCAAUAAACUGACGAAUGAAUGGCUGCUUCUGACUGCUUCCAGACACUCCAGUAUGUCGUUCCAGGUGGGUGUUCCGAUAUUAAUGAUUUCAGGUCUAUGUGUGACUGGUACAUGAACAUAUUUUUUCCCGAUUGGUUGGAAAAAAAUACGCCCAAAGGAGUUUACCUGGUACCUCCUCUACCUCUAUCAAUGCCUCCUAACCCACCUGAGGGAUCUUCAGGGGGUCAAAAAUCCGACAAUGUCGGAUACAAACAGUACAUUAAUUUCAGAACAGGACAAAAAUCGAAAACCGAAGAAUUUAAUUUCGUGCAAAAAAUCCAAAAAUACGCCGUAGAAAAUGAAUUGCCAAUGUUCAUUUUUCACGGACUUGCUGUUGACAAAUCGCAAUGGGACAUGAUUUUAACAGUUGCGGAACAUGAAAUGCCUUCCGAAUGCCUGGACGAUUUGCGAAAUAGUUCUAAAAUUAAACUCAACCAUAAAGGUUUCCCCGAAAACUUAGAGAUUGAUUGCAUGACUAUUGACCCAAAAAAUGGAGUUGUCUUGUGGGAGAUCAAAAGUCGCAGUUAUCAAGGUCAAGCGACGAAAGGUUUGAAAAAAAUCAAUCAGGCCCUCGAACAGCUGAACAGAGACGAAUUAUUUGUUUCUUGGAUUUCACAGCAUUUCUGCUCUUCGAGUCAUGCUGUUAUAACAAAAAAAAAUGUUGUCUUACCUGAAGACGAAAUCUCAGAAGAUAAAAACCUUGAGUUUGAAAAAUUUCGCCAAUCUUACAAAGUUCUAGAUGCUUCGAUACUGCGAACGUGGGAGAGUUUUUCGAAUUGGUUUCGCUCCGAUAUCGAAUCUGAAAUUCCCAGUAAUUCGGAACAAACAUACAAAACACUUGUUCCCAUAAUGGUAGGCAUAAGCGUUUCGGUUUCAGUAAAAUGCGAGAACACAGCUGAAGUUCGACCAACAAAAACUUAUUUUGAAAAUCUUUCUCAUGCUAAAGCAGUGCAUAAACUGGAUUCAGAAAUUUCUGAACAAAAGUUAUCGCGAGACAAAAAGCCGUUCAGCGACCUGAUUCCGGCAUCUGAGCUAUCAUUCGCAAAAACCUCAAAGUCUUCGAAGCUUCUUUUCUUGACCCCACGGCAACAAGAUGUCUUAAGUUCUUCCAAUAACGGAAUGAAGCUGAUAAUAGGACCGGCAGGGACAGGAAAAACUAUUUUGACGCUUCAUAAAAUCAUUAAUUUGUGUAAAACACAACCGGAAGACAAAAUACUUCUGCUCUGCAGCGGAAAAUUUAUCGAGUCAUACUGUAAAAUGCUAGAGGACAACGAAAUUUCAUGUGAAAGGCUAAUGAUGGAUGGUCGGUGUAAUAAGGAGCAGAAAAUUUGGAAACGCGAAUAUUUGACACGCAAGGAUUACCGACCUUACAAAAGCAAAGUCUUCGAAUUUGUGUACGAACCGCUAUCUUCAGAUCUUCAAACGAAACAGAGCAUCAACACAAAAGCAUUUGGUCAAAAGCAAGUCAUCAUUGGGGAAACGACAGCUUUUCUAAACUCCCUAAAUGAAAAGGCUAAACAGUUUGUUUUGAAAAAAACUAAAAAAACUAAUGUUUCAGAAGACUAUCGAUCAGAGACAUCACGCUGGGUUAUGAAAACACAUUUGGUCAUUGAUGAUUGUGAUUUACCCGUAAUUUGUGAGAGCCAAUUGAACCCCUUAAGUCUUUUAACCAGCGAUCAAUUUCUUACCUGGUUAGUUACUGACAUUCACCAAUCAAAUAAAACACUGAUGUCGAACAUAACGCACAUCAAAAAAUUGAGGUCGUCAAAAAGUGUUGAAGUUUUUAUUCUCGAAGAAGUUCUACGAAACACGGUUCAAAUUAACCAAAUGACCCGCCGACUCGUUGAAUACAUGAAUCGCAGUCUAGAAGACGACGGGCACGUUUACCCUGGUACUUUAAUAGAUGUAAAGCAAGGAUCUAAUUUCCAGGGACCUCCGAUAACUAUUUUUGAGCUUAAAAAAAACAUUGCAUCUCGACAAACUUACCCAACUAAACUUAUAGCGUUCCUUCUAUGUCAAAUGAUGAAAGAAGGAAUGCAAGCUGGUGACAUUCAUUUUUUGACAUCUGGUGACGGUGCAAAUUUUUUUAAAUGGUUGGGGAAAACCAUUCGCCUGGAGUAUCCCGAGCUUUUGUCGCAACUGGGAGUUAACGAUGAAACAGAAGUUGACUGGUCCAGUUUCUGUUCGCAGAUUUAUAUAACAAAGUCAUCCGAAUGGGAAAGGGUUGUUAUUGACGGUCGAUUCGAUGAAGAAAAUCAUCUUAAUUCGAUUAAUUAUAGUAAAUUCGAUGAAUCUGAUAUGAUAAACAUCUUAUAUCUGGCAUGUACACGCGCACGAUCUCAACUUUACAUUAUUGCCCAUCCAACGUUUAGCGACCUGUUGUCAAAGAAACUUGGUAUGCCGAUGGAAAAUCUGAUAGUUCAGAAAUACGAAUGGUGCGAAAAACACAACGAAUUGAAAAGGAGCAAUGAUGGAAGUGAUUCAGAAGAAGAAAUCGAGAGAGGUGGAAAGAAGUUCAAAUUUUUUUCUAAUUGAAUCAGAAGCAGAAUAUGAGAACUGCCAAUCCAGCUCGGCUUCAGAUCGAUGAUAAAACCCUACAAAGUUUCAUAAAGCAGAGAAAACAGAUUUUUAACAGUCGCUGUAAAAUACUGCUUAUAAAGUAUUUCGUUGGUAGUUAGACUGAUUAACGUUAGUUAUUUUGAUCAAAGGUUUCUUAACAUGUUUAUAUGCUGUUAGAAUUCAGCCUGCUAAUUGAAGCAAAAUAGCUAAAAUUUGUGAAAUAUAAAAAGUUUUAUUUUAACAUUCGAAAUAGGUCAGUUAAACUCCAUGACUAAAUUAGAUUAAUGUAAUUUGGUGUUAAAAUAUAUUUAAAAAAAACAUGUUUGAAAUAAACAGCGGUAAAUAAACUCAGAUUUUGAUUAAACGAAAGUUUUGAAAUCAUUUGGGGGAGGCCAGAAGGUCAUUUGAUUUGUUUAUUGACACUGAAAAGGCAAAGCAUUUAAAAACUGAAUCAAGAAAUUUUUUGUUCUGUUUUUUUUUUACAGUUCAAUGAAAUUCCGUGACUUUGUAACACACGUGAGCAUGUCUAAAACAGUUUUCGUAUGACUGCUACUUGUCAUUUCUUAAUUUACUCUGUAUCAUCACUUCGUUUUCAUUUAAAUCUAAUCUUUGACUCAUAUCGUUUUAGUUACGAGCAUCGCUUUGAUCUGAAGUUGUCUAUUUUUAAUUGGUUGUCUCUUUGUUCAUACCGGUGUUACAAUUCAUUUAGAAAUACCCUUUCAAUUUAACGCUUUUGACAUUUCA